UACGUAGGGGGCAAGCGUUAUCCGGAUUUACUGGGUGUAAAGGGAGCGUAGACGGCAGCGCAAGUCUGGAGUGAAAUGCCGGGGCCCAACCCCGGAACUGCUUUGGAAACUGUGCGGCUCGAGUGCGGGAGAGGUAGGCGGAAUUCCUAGUGUAGCGGUGAAAUGCGUAGAUAUUAGGAGGAACACCAGUGGCGAAGGCGGCUCUCUGGCCUGUAACUGACACUGAGGCUCGAAAGCGUGGGGAGCAAACAGG
rnacentral:rRNA from 1 species